CCUACGGGAGGCAGCAGUGGGGAAUAUUGGGCAAUGGGCGAAAGCCUGACCCAGCAACGCCGCGUGAAGGAAGAAGGCUUUCGGGUUGUAAACUUCUUUUGACAGGGAAGAGCAGAAGACGGUACCUGUCGAAUAAGCCACGGCUAACUACGUGCCAGCAGCCGGGGUAAUACGAAGGUGGCAAGCGUGGUCCGGAUGUACUGGGUGUAAAGGGCGUGUAGCCGGGCUGACAAGUCAGAUGUGAAAGCCGGGGGCUCAACCCUCGAACUGCAUUUGAAACUGUUGGUCUUGAGUAUCGGAGAGGCAGGCGGAAUUCCUAGUGUAGCGGUGAAAUGCGUAGAUAUUAGGAGGAACACCAGUGGCGAAGGCGGGCUGCUGGACGACAACUGACGGUGAGGCGCGAAAGCGUGGGGAGCAAACAGGAUUAGAUACCCCAGUAGUC
rnacentral:rRNA from 1 species